rnacentral:rRNA from 1 species
UACGAAGGGGGCUAGCGUUGUUCGGAAUUACUGGGCGUAAAGCGCGUGUAGGCUGCUCGGAAAGUCGGAUGUGAAAGCCCUGGGCUCAACCUAGGAAGUGCAUUCGAAACUUCCGAGCUGGAGUGCUGGAGAGGAAGGCGGAAUUCUCGGUGUAGAGGUGAAAUUCGUAGAUAUCGAGAGGAACACCGGUGGCGAAGGCGGCCUUCUGGACAGUCACUGACGCUGAGACGCGAAAGCGUGGGGAGCAAACAGG